AAAGCUCAAAUUUGAAAUCUGCCAACAGGCCGAGUUGUAAUUUGUAGAUGGCUACACUGCAUAAUAGUAGAUGCUCAAGUUCUUUGGAAAAAGACAUCAUGGAGGGUGACAAUCCCGUGAGGCAUGUUACUAGGAGCAUAUAGUGGGCUUUCUAAGAGUCGAGUUGUUUGGGAAUGCAGCUCAAAGUGCGUGGUGAAUACCAUGUAAAGCUAAAUAUGGACGAGAGACCGAUAGCGAACAAGUACUGUGAAGGAAAGAUGAAAAGCACUCCGAAAGGAGAGUGAAAUAGUACGUGAAAUUGUUAAAGUGGAAGGGCUUGAGAUCAGAAUUGGUAGUUUGGGUUCCACGUCCUCUUGGGGGCGUGUACUCCCUUUCCACCGGGCCAGCGGGAGUUUCGUCUCUUGGGUAAAAGCAGUGGAAUGUAGCAGCUUGUCUGUAUUAUAGCCUCUGUUCAUACAAGACGUCGAGACUUGUUUUUGUUGGCGUAAUGAUCUCUAGCCACCCGUCUUGA
rnacentral:rRNA from 1 species